rnacentral:rRNA from 1 species
UACGAAGGGGGCUAGCGUUGCUCGGAAUCACUGGGCGUAAAGCGCACGUAGGCGGAUUGCUAAGUCAGGGGGUGAAAUCCUGGAGCUCAACUCCAGAACUGCCUUUGAUACUGAGGAUCUUGAGUUCGGGAGAGGGUGAGUGGAACUGCGAGUGUAGAGGUGAAAUUCGUAGAUAUUCGCAAGAACACCAGUGGCGAAGGCGGCUCACUGGCCCGAUACUGACGCUGAGGCACGAAAGCGUGGGGGAGCAAACAGGGA